UGGGAAAUAAGAAAGAAUACCCAAGAAAAUAAGGAAGAAACUAUGGAGAUUGUUGUGAAUCUGCUUUUGAUAGCAAUGUUUCUGAAUGCUGUUCUGUGCCAAACCUUUAUCCAGUCUGAAGCUGUGGUUAAAAGACCUGGAGAGUCUCAUAAACUGACCUGUACAGCAUCUGGAUUCACAUUCAGUAGCUACUGGGCAGGUGUGGUCAGACAGGCUCCUGGAAAAGGCCUGGAAUGGGUUGCUACUAUUGGAACAUCCAGCUCUCCCAUCCGCUAUUCCCAGUCAGUCCAGGGAAGAUUCACGAUCUCCAGAUCCGACUCCAGCAGUCAGCUGUACUUACAGAUGGACAGCCUGAAGAGUGAAGACACUGCUGUGUAUUACUGUGCUAGAUACUCACAGUGA